GACGAACGCUGGCGGCGUGCUUAACACAUGCAAGUCGAGCGGUAAGGCCCUUUCGGGGGUACACGAGCGGCGAACGGGUGAGUAACACGUGGGUGACCUGCCCUCAGCUCUGGGAUAAGCCUGGGAAACUGGGUCUAAUACUGGAUAUGACUCCACGGUGCAUGUCGUGGGGUGAAAGCCUUGUGCGGCUGAGGAUGGGCCCGCGGCCUAUCAGCUUGUUGGGGGUGAUGGCCUACCAAGGCGACGACGGGUAGCCGGCCUGAGAGGGCGACCGGCCACACUGGGACUGAGACACGGCCCAGACUCCUACGGGAGGCAGCAGUGGGGAAUCUUGCGCAAUGGGCGAAAGCCUGACGCAGCGACGCCGCGUGAGGGAUGACGGCCU
rnacentral:rRNA from 1 species